rnacentral:siRNA from 1 species
CUCAUAUGAUUGUGCCAUGUGUC